rnacentral:rRNA from 1 species
CCUACGUGAGGCAGCAGUGAGGACUAUUGGUCAAUGGCCGUAAGGCUGAACCAGCCAAGUAGCGUGAGUGAAGACUGCCCUAUGGGUUGUAAACCUCUUUUAUGCGGGGAUAAAGGUGUCCACGUGUGGAUGUUUGCAGGUACCGCAUGAAUAAGGACCGGCUAAUUCAGUGCCAGCAGCCGCGGUAAUACGGAAGGUCCGGGCGUUAUACGGUUUUAUUGGGGUUAAAGGGAGCGUAGGCCGGUCUUUAAGCGUGCCGUGAAAUUUUGUGGCGGAACCAGGGGAGUGCUGCGCGAACUGGCGCCCUUGAGUGCGCGGAAGGCAGGCGGAAUUCGUGGUGUAGCGGUGAAAUGCUUAGAUAUCACGAAGAACCCCGAUUGCGAAGGCAGCCUGCCGCAGCGUUACUGACGCUGAAGCUCGAAAGCGCGGGUAUCGAACAGGAUUAGAUACCCCAGUAGUC